UACGGGGGGGGGCAAGCGUUGUUCGGAAUUACUGGGCGUAAAGGGCUCGUAGGCGGCCAACUAAGUCAGACGUGAAAUCCCUCGGCUUAACCGGGGAACUGCGUCUGAUACUGGAUGGCUUGAGUUUGGGAGAGGGAUGCGGAAUUCCAGGUGUAGCGGUGAAAUGCGUAGAUAUCUGGAGGAACACCGGUGGCGAAGGCGGCUCACUGGCCCGAUACUGACGCUGAGGUGCGAAAGCGUGGGGAGCAAACAGGG
rnacentral:rRNA from 1 species